rnacentral:rRNA from 1 species
AACGAACGCUGGCGGCAUGCCUAACACAUGCAAGUCGAACGAGACCUUCGGGUCUAGUGGCGCACGGGUGCGUAACGCGUGGGAACCUGCCCUUAGGUUCGGAAUAACUCCCCGAAAGGGGUGCUAAUACCGGAUAAUGUCUUCGGACCAAAGAUUUAUCGCCUUUUGAUGGGCCCGCGUUGGAUUAGCUAGUUGGUAGGGUAAAAGCCUACCAAGGCGACGAUCCAUAGCUGGUCUGAGAGGAUGAUCAGCCACACUGGGACUGAGACACGGCCCAGACUCCUACGGGAAGCAGCAGUGGGGAAUAUUGGACAAUGGGCGAAAGCCUGAUCCAGCAAUGCCGCGUGAGUGACGAAGGCCUUAGGGUUGUAAAGCUCUUUUACCCGGGAUGAUAAUGACAGUACCGGGAGAAUAAGCUCCGGCUAACUCCGUG